rnacentral:rRNA from 1 species
GACAGAGGUGCCAAGCGUUAGGCGGAAUCACUGGGCUUAAAGCGUGUGUAGGCGGAAUGGUAAGUACCUUGUGAAAUCCCACAGCUCAACUGUGGAACUGCUUGGUAUACUGCUUUCUUGAGCCACUUAGGGGCUACCGGAACAAAUGGUGGAGCGGUGAAAUGCGUAGAUAUCAUUUGGAACGCCAAUGGUGAAAACAGGUAGCUGGGAGUGUGCUGACGCUGAGACACGAAAGCCAGGGGAGCGAACGGG